GGAUGUGAGGACAAUCUGGCUGUGACAUCUGUCACCUCAGUGAGGCCAGGGCUGAUUGGGUUGAUCUGCUGGCUAGGCUAGUAGCUCCUUCCUCCUUCAUUGCUUCAUUUGUGUCUGUCCCAAAGAUGUGGACUAGGUGGAAGAGGAUGACCUUCCCCAAUAGAGGAGGACUUUUCUGCCAUCAAAAAUAUACAGGUAGCUCUACUCCCUUGCUAGAACUUUUAAAUAAGCUCUCAAGAACAUAGCUUACAGCUUAGUGGGGUGAACACCCAGGAGGCCCAAGCAGAAGGAUGCUGAAUUUG
rnacentral:snRNA from 1 species